CUACGGGAUGCUCCAGUGAGGAAUAUUGGUCAAUGGGCGAAAGCCUGAACCAGCCAUGCCGCGUGAAGGAUGACGGCCCUAUGGGUUGUAAACUUCUUUUAUACGGGAAGAAACACCUCUACGUGUAGAGGUUUGACGGUACCGUACGAAUAAGCAUCGGCUAACUCCGUGCCAGCAGCCGCGGUAAUACGGAGGAUGCAAGCGUUAUCCGGAUUUAUUGGGUUUAAAGGGUACGUAGGCGGAAACUUAAGUCAGUAGUGAAAUCCCGCAGCUUAACUGUGGAACUGUUAUUGAUACUGGGUUUCUUGAAUAUUGUUGAGGUAGGCGGAAUAAGUAAUGUAGCUGUGAAAUGCUUAGAUAUUACUUAGAACACCGAUUGCGAAGGCAGCUUACUAAGCAAUUAUUGACGCUGAGGUACGAAAGCGUGGGGAGCGAACAGGAUUAGAUACCCUGGUAGUC
rnacentral:rRNA from 1 species